CACAUAGGCGGGUGCCUGCCUGGCUCCCCCAGCAGCCGGGCUGUGGGAAGAUGGGUGAGAGUCAGCUCUCUGAGUGCUUGGCGGCAGGCGGUCAGCUCAGCUGGUGGGAACAGCAGGACGGUGUGGACGUCAGCCUGGCACGGGGCAGGGGUGCCCCUCAGCAGAAUGGCAUGGGGGCUGUGGCAAGCUCCCCUCCAUCUCUGGUCCCUGGAGUCAGACUAGACCUUCGCCGCAUCCGGCUCGAAGGCUCGGAUGGAUGAUGGAUUGCCCGGCCCAUCUUCCCCGGGGGGUUGGAUCUGAGACCAUCAGCAUCCAGCAGCCGUGAGUGUGAUGGAUGAACCGAGGCCAGUCACCUAGUGGGGAAACGACAUCUCACAUUUAAAGAACACCAGGCGUUUCUACACAGCGGGGGAAGGAAAUCCGUCCUGAUUUUAAACUUUGGCACAGCUGUGAAACCGAGGGUAGUGAACUCUGAGGAGAGGACUCUUUUCUGUAAGUGGCCCUCCAAGAGCCGAAGUCCCGGUCCCGAGAGAUGCGUGUCAUGUGUGUGGCCUUGUGACAGAGCCGCUGGGGUUCUCUGUCUACUUCUGGAUCGUCCCCGUGUUGCUGGGUGGGCUCCCUGUUCCCCCACCCCAGGCCGUGCAGGCUGGCUUCGCAGUGGACUCGGCUGUGGGAGGUCCUGGCAGGGCGGGUGCUCCUUCCCCGCUUCCCCUACACCCCCGUGACUACAGCCCCAUCCCUGGCAUCAGCAUCCUUGGGAUCUUUGCCCCUCAAGCCCGUAACCUUGCUGGUCUCUGAGGCUGUACAGAAACCUGUUUCCUGCAGGGACAUACAUUUAACGUCCGUGAAAGCCUCAGACCCCCUGAGCACACCUGCCUAGCCGUGUUGUGGACGAACAAGGGCUGACGAAAUGCCUGUGGAGGCUGAUUUCACCGGAGUCAGGGGAAGUCAGUCUAAGCAAAGAGCAGGGGCACGGAUGAAAAUAACAGAACAGUGACCCAGGUAGGAACCGUGUGCCGGGGAGGCUGGGCCAAGCAUUUAUAGAAACUGCCCAAAGAGCAGAGCAGGGCGGGCGUUUCGGCCCAUUUUACAGACCAGGAAAACGGGCGGAGAGGCUGAGUGACUGCCCGAGGCGACACACAGCUCUCCCGCCCUGUUUGCUUACACACAUUCUUGGCCAUGCAGUGAAGGGAGUUCCCAGCAGUGUCCCCCGCCCACUCGCAUCCUAUUGCCCAGCUGAGCCCCUCCCUUGGCUCUCCCACCCAUGGGCCUGAUGGCCACAGCUGGGAUCCACCGGACACUGCAGUCCCCCAGGCUUCGGGUCUUUGCCUCCUUAGUCACCUGCGAAGCACCUCCUAUGUGCCAGCUCUGCCCGUCCAGGGAGAAGCAGCACAGCCCGGCCACCCGAGGCCUCCUGUGCGCUUCCCCGUCUGAGGUCCGUGAUCAGAACUGCGGGCCUCUCCCCAGAGGUCGGGGCAGCGACAGGACAGCCGCGGGCUUCUCCGCAGAGGUCGGGGCAGCGACAGGACAGCCUCAGCCUCUUCAGAUGCUGCCUUCAGGGAGCAGUGAAAGAGGGAGGGAGAGACAGAGAGCACCCGGGCGGGUCUCCCAGCCACACCAGGCUGGUGGGUGGGAUUUAUGUGCCAGGUACUGUGCUGGCUAUCACCGGGGCCUGGUGGUCUCUUGGAGUCACAAGCAGCCGCCUGAGAUGAGGUUUAUCAUUUUGAGCUAGAAUAGGACUGAAGCUCAUUCCCGAGGGGCUGGCCGGGCCGGCUCUCCCUGCCUGCCGGCAUCUCCACUGCCUCUGCUGUCCUGAAGCUCUUAUGAGGGUUCACAUUACUAGGACGCCAAUGUGGGUUCUCCUCUGGGCACUGGCCCCAAGGCACCCCAACCUCAGACAUGUCACCUCCUGGGCCUACUAGAAAUGGAGACUGCAGUUCUAUGAUGGGAAAAUCUCUACACCAUCGGUCAUUUGGGCUAUAGAAGAAAAAGAAAUUAUUUUCAGCUGCA
ensembl:lncRNA novel transcript